GACAACGUGGCCGAGCGGUUAAGGCGAUUGACUAGAAUUCUAAAAAUUUCUAAGACUUUAUAAUAUUUAUAAAUUGGUCUAUCAUCAAUUAGGGUUUCCCUGCGUAGGUUCAAGUCCUGCCGUUGUCG